UGUGGGAGCGGGCUUGCCCGCGAUAGCGGAGUGUCGGACACAUCAAUGUUGGAUGUUCCGACGCCAUCGCGGGCAAGCCCGCUCCCACA
rnacentral:misc_RNA from 1 species